CACUGACCACUACGACAGGUCGUCCAAGGGCCCACUGCCGGUUAGAUGGUUGGCACCAGAAAGUUUGAUCGACAGAACACACAGCACCAAAUCUGACGUCUGGGCCUACGGCAUUCUUCUGUGGGAGAUUGUUACGCUAGGUGCCAGUCCUUACCCCGGGUUGUCUGCCCAUGAUGUCUUCAAGUUUGUUAGCGCUGGCAACCCUAACCCACCCACUCACAACCCCACAAACUCAACUCCAACAAUCUUACACAAAAUCCCACCCACCACGCAAUCCCGCACAACUCAACUCCCACACAAAAUCCCACCCCACACAAUUCCAUACACAAACCCACCCCCACAAUCCCACACAACUCACCCCCAUACAUAAUCCCACCCAUUCAUAAUCCCACACAAACUCCCACCCCCAUACAA